UAAAUGGCUAUACAUAAUGUAAUUUUGAUGAUAACAAACAUGUGUCUUAAGUAAAAAUAAUAAAUAUUGUAUUUCACAUUUUCACUAAUUUUUGAAGGAUAAUAUUUAUGCAAGUGAUCAAGUGAAAUCAAGAUUGAAGACACUCAACGGACAAUGGCGAAAUCAAGAAUAAAGUUUAUAGCUCAACGGAUAAAUUAUUGCGACAAAUUCUUGUAAAGCCGGUAUGAUUUAAUUGAUGCAUUAUUUAGCAUUUGAGAAGCUCAAG
rnacentral:lncRNA from 1 species